rnacentral:lncRNA from 10 species
UACUCGUUUGAGAGCCGGUGGCGUUCCGGAGGUUUCUCCCUCGUUAUCCCCCUGCCUUUCACCUGAGGAGAGGCUCUGACUGUCUCUCUCUCUCUCUGGCGUCUGCGCAGCGGGGAAGUAGUGAGAAACAAUCAGAGUACAGAGUAUUUUAAUCUUUAGGGGAUCAAGAUGUCAGAUGCAAACAAAGCUGCCAUUGCAGCAGAAAAGGAAGCUCUGAACUUGAAGUUACCCCCCAUUGUCCAUCUCCCAGAAAACAUAGGCGUUGAUACACCAACACAAAGUAAGCUGCUAAAAUACAGAAGAUCCAAGGAGCAGCAGCAGAAAAUUAAUCAGUUAGUAAUUGAUGGAGCCAAAAGAAAUUUAGACAGAACACUGGGUAAAAGAACACCUCUAUUACCACCACCUGAUUAUCCUCAAACUAUGACCAGUGAAAUGAAAAAAAAAGGAGUGAGUUCAAGUUUUUAUAUUUCUUGUUUGAAAAUGUUCAAAGAAAUUAUUGCAAAGUAGUUUCAUCUAAGACCACCUGCUAAGUCCCAUUCUAGAAAAUAAAUAAAUUUAGAAACUGAGGUUUUUAUUUUCUCUUCCCAAGGGAGCAAACAUGUCAUGAACAACAAUAUGGCAAUAUAGAUUUUUUUGUUUUUUUGUUUUAAACAAGGUCUUGCUCUGUCACCAAGGCUGGAGGGCAGUGGUGCGAUCUCGGGUCACUGCAGCCCCACCACUCAGGCUCAAGCAGUCCUCCCACCUCAGCCUCCUGAGUAGCUGGGACUGCAAUCACAUGCCACCAUGCUUGGAUAAUUUUUAAAAUUAUUUGUAGAAAUGAGAUCUCACUAUAUUGCCCAGGCUGGUCUUGAACUCCUGGACUCAAGUGAUCCUCCCACCUUGGCCUAUCAAAUUGCUAGAAAUACAGGUUUGAGCCACUGUGCCCGGCCAAUAUGGGUUUUAAGAAUUACAUUUUUGUUGGCAUUCACUAUUUGCAGAUUAAUUACGUAAAUAUUUUCAUUCUUAUUCCAAACAACUGAAAAAAAACUCAAAGUGGCAGUUAUAAAGGAACUCCAUCUCUCUUUUUCAUUAGGGUAAUAAUUGAGUAUUCUAAUAUUGAUAUAAUGAUAUAGUAGCCACUCAGCAAAUAUGUAUUUAGAAUCUGUUAUGUGCUUGCCAAAUGCUAGGUGCUAGAGAUUAAAAAAAAAAAAGACACUGACUGCAUGAGUGGCAACAGGGGACUUAUGAUAUGAUUGGUGGAAAGAC